rnacentral:rRNA from 1 species
AUUGAACGCUGGCGGCAGGCCUAACACAUGCAAGUCGAGCGGAGCGGCGGACGGGUGAGUAAUGCCUAGGAAUCUGCCUGGUAGUGGGGGAUAACGUCCGGAAACGGGCGCUAAUACCGCAUACUAUCAGAUGAGCCUAGGUCGGAUUAGCUAGUUGGUGGGGUAACGGCCUACCAAGGCGACGAUCCGUAACUGGUCUGAGAGGAUGAUCAGUCAAACUGGAACUGAGACAAGGUCCGGACUCCUACGGGAGGUAGAAAGAGGGAAUAUUUGAACAUGGGCGGAAGCCUGGUCCGGCCAUGCCGCGUGUGUGGAGAAGGUCUUCGGAUUGUAAAGCAAUUUUAGUUGGGAAGCGUUACCAACAGAAUAAGCACCGGCUAACUUCGUGCCAGCAGCCGCGGUAAUUC